rnacentral:ncRNA from 1 species
UAUUAAGCAAUGAUAAAAAGGAGUAAAUAUGUGGAACAUUCAGAGAGGAAGUGGCUGGUGAGAACUUCUUGGAAAACAUAUUGAAGCUGUUUUGGAGCUAUAUUUUAAUGAAGAGAUAUGAGGAGUUUCCUCAUAUAAUUAGGGUGGUAACGCGGAAAACCUUCGUCCCUUUA